GCAGUACAGUGGCGUAAUCUCAGCUCACUGCAACCUCUGCCUCCCGGGAUCAAGCGAUUCUCCUUCCUCAGCCUCCCGAGUAGCUGGGAUUACAGGAUGGUGCUAGCAUAUAUAAGACUGAAACACCAAAGUCCUCCGUGGAAGUUAAUGAAUUUCUAAUAGUGAAAUAAGGUGGCCAAGGAGGCAGAGAUGGAGUCAGGGACUCUGUGAUCAACCCUGAGGAUUGGGAAGGAACUAUACAUACCAGGAGGCAAGGAGCACUGGGGGCCCUCCUGGAACUGCCUGUCACAGCGUCCUCAAAGCAGUAUGAUGGUACUUCCAGUACCCCAGUGACACCUAGCCUGAGAAAGAAGCAGAGAUAAAGUCUAUAGAGGAAGAGAGCAUCUGAAUGACGUUUGAGUCCCUGGAUCCACUGUGUGAAGCCAGAGCCACUCCUGCAAGUGUUUUGUUUAGGUUUAAAUUUGAUUGAGAUUUUUAUUACUUCAAAGUAAAAAAUUCUUACUAAUGCAAUGCCUUCAGCCUUCCACCUCAAAGUCACUGAAAGGAUCUUAAUAUUUUCAAUGUAUAUAUUUAUAACUUAUAAUUUAAUGUAUUUAUAUUAUAAAUAUAACUUAUAAUUCAAUGUAUUUAUAUUAUAAAUAUAACUUAUAAUUCAAUGUAUUUAUAUUAUAAAUAUAACUUAUAAUUCAA
rnacentral:lncRNA from 1 species